rnacentral:rRNA from 1 species
GGAACCCGGUGAACUGAAACAUCUAAGUAGCCGGAGGAAGAGAAAGAAACAUCGAUUCCCAAAGUAGCGGCGAGCGAAAUGGGAAGAGCCCAAACCGAGGGUCUACGGACAAUCGGGGUUUGGACCUGCAUAAUUGAGAGUUCCUAUAGUUGAACACCGUUGGAAAGCGGGACCAGAGACGGUAACAGUCCGGUAAGCGAAAUGGGAAUGACAAGGCGGGGAUCCAGAGUACCACAGGACACGAGAAAUCCGGUGGGAACACGGGGGGACCACCCCCCAAGGCUAAAUACUACUUGGUGACCGAUAGAGAAUAGUACCGUGAGGGAAAGGUGAAAAGCACCCCGGGAGGGGAGUGAAAGAGAACCUGAAACCCUGUGUUUACAAGCAGAGGGAGCGAAAGCGACCUCGUACUUUUUGUAGAACGGGCCGGCGAGUUGCUAUACGUUGCAAGGUUAAGGUGUAGAGCACCGAAGCCGUAGGGAAACCGAGUCUCAAAUGGGCGAUUUAGUAGCGUAUAGCAGACCCGAAACCGGGUGACCUAUCCAUGGACAGGUUGAAGCGACGGUAAGACGUCGUGGAGGACCGAACCAGACGUAUGUUGAAAAAUGCGGGGAUGAGCUGUGGAUAGCGGAGAAAUUCCAAUCGAACUCGGAGAUAGCUGGUUCUCCCCGAAAUAGCUUUAGGGCUAGCCUCGAUUAAACGAUUACCGGGGGUAGAGCACUGAAUGGGCUAGGGGGCCACAAAGCUUACCGAACCCUAUCAAACUCCGAAUACCGGAUAAUUAAGAUCGGGAGUCAGACGGCGGGAGAUAAGUUUCGUCGUCAAAAGGGAAACAGCCCAGAUCAACGACUAAGGUCCCAAAGUGGUGGUUAAGUGGGAAAGGAUGUGCAAUUGCACAGACAACCAGGAUGUUGGCUCAGAAGCAGCCACUCAUUCAAAGAGUGCGUAAUAGCUCACUGGUCGAGUGAAUGUGCGCCGAAAAUGUACCGGGGCUAAACCACACACCGAAGUCUUGGGAUUGCGUAAGCAAUCGGUAGGGGAGCAACGAAUACGGGCUGAAGCGGAAUCGUGAGAGACCGUGGACUGUAUUGGAGAGAGAAUGCCGGCAUGAGUAGCGAGAGCAAAGUGAGAAUCUUUGCCGUCGAAAGCCUAAGGUUUCCUGAGGAAGGUUCGUCCUCUCAGGGUAAGUCGGGGCCUAAGCCGAGGACAAAAGUCGUAGGCGAUGGACAACAGGUUGAUAUUCCUGUACCACGACAAUUCGUUUGACUGACGCAGUGACACAGAAGGAUAGACAGAGCGGGGCGAUGGUAGACCCCGUCCAAGCGGUGAGGCUGGUGCGUAGUGAAGUACGCGCACUAAGGCUGGGCCGUGAUGGGGACCGAAAACAAGUAGGGAAGCUGUUGAAUUCACGCUGGCAAGAAAAGCUGCUAAGGAGAAUUGCCGUGCCCGUACCGCAAACCGACACAGGUGGGCGAGGAGAGAAUCCUAAGACGAACGGGAGAACCCUUGUUAAGGAACUCGGCAAAAUGACCCCGUAACUUCGGGAUAAGGGGAGCCUCGAAAGAGGCCGCAGAGAAUAGGCCCAAGCGACUGUUUAGCAAAAACACAGGUCUGUGCGAAGUAGAGAUACGACGUAUACGGGCUGACGCCUGCCCAGUGCCGGAAGGUUAAGGGGAAGUGUUAGGGCAACCGAAGCACGGAACUUAAGCCCCGGUGAACGGCGGCCGUAACUAUAACGGUCCUAAGGUAGCGAAAUUCCUUGUCGGGUAAGUUCCGACCCGCACGAAUGGCGUAACGACUUGGGCACUGUCUCAA